rnacentral:rRNA from 1 species
ACCCAGACUCCUACGGGAGGCAGCAGUGGGGAAUAUUGGGCAAUGGACGCAAGUCUGACCCAGCAACGCCGCGUGAAGGAAGAAGGCUUUCGGGUUGUAAACUUCUUUUAAGGGGGAAGAGCAGAAGACGGUACCCCUUGAAUAAGCCACGGCUAACUCCGUGCCAGCAGCCGCGGUAAUACGGGGGAUGCGAGCGUUAUCCGGAUUUAUUGGGUUUAAAGGGUGCGUAGGCGGCGCUUCAGGUCAGCGGUGAAAUACCGGGGCUCAACCCCGGGGCUGCCGUUGAAACCGGAGCGCUAGAAUUCCGAUGCCGUCGGAGGAAUGUGUGGUGUAGCGGUGAAAUGCAUAGAUAUCACGCAGAACCCCGAUUGCGAAGGCAGCCUUCCGGCGCCCUACUGACGCUGAGGCACGAAAGUGCGGGGAUCGAACAGGAUUAGAUACCCCGGUAU